AAAGAAUGCAAGUCGAGCGAACUGAUUAGAAGCUUGCUUCUAUGACGUUAGCGGCGGACGGGUGAGUAACACGUGGGCAACCUGCCUGUAAGACUGGGAUAACUUCGGGAAACCGAAGCUAAUACCGGAUAGGAUCUUCUCCUUCAUGGGAGAUGAUUGAAAGAUGGUUUCGGCUAUCACUUACAGAUGGGCCCGCGGUGCAUUAGCUAGUUGGUGAGGUAACGGCUCACCAAGGCCACGAUGCAUAGCCGACCUGAGAGGGUGAUCGGCCACACUGGGACUGAGACACGGCCCAGACUCCUACGGGAGGCAGCAGUAGGGAAUCUUCCGCAAUGGACGAAAGUCUGACGGAGCAACGCCGCGUGAGUGAUGAAGGCUUUCGGGUCGUAAAACUCUGUUGUUAGGGAAGAACAAGUACAAGAGUAACUGCUUGUACCUUGACGGUACCUAACCAGAAAGCCACGGCUAACUACGUGCCAGCAGCCGCGGUAAUACGUAGGUGGCAAGCGUUAUCCGGAAUUAUUGGGCGUAAAGCGCGCGCAGGCGGUUUCUUAAGUCUGAUGUGAAAGCCCACGGCUCAACCGUGGAGGGUCAUUGGAAACUGGGGAACUUGAGUGCAGAAGAGAAAAGCGGAAUUCCACGUGUAGCGGUGAAAUGCGUAGAGAUGUGGAGGAACACCAGUGGCGAAGGCGGCUUUUUGGUCUGUAACUGACGCUGAGGCGC
rnacentral:rRNA from 1 species